UGAGGCAGGAGAAUUGCUUGAACCCAGGAAGCGGAGGCUGCAAUGAGCAGAGAUCACGCCACUGUACUCUAGCCUGGGUGACACAGCAAGACUCCAUCUCA
rnacentral:miRNA from 1 species